GCUCCCCCUCCACACCCGCCCCACGCACAGACAAAAGAAGCUUAGUUUGCGUGACCCAGCACAUAAGAAGAGGCAAAACGGGUCUGGUGGAGGCUCCUCUUAUCCUUCCACUGUACGUGAUCAGUCUCUUUAAUAAUUGUGCAAGGUAGGACUAUCCCACUGGCUCCAGCAGCGUCUUACCCGGAGAGGGUUCGGUUGGAUAAAUAAUUAAAAUCCUAUCCCUCGGCUUAGCGAAAAGAAAAUAUUGACUCGGAUCCUUCUUCUUUUCCAUACAUCAACUGCACCCGGAUUCACCCUGGAUAGUGCAGGUGAAGAAAAGAAAAAAGAAAAAAAAGGGGGGGGAAAGAAGAGGAAAAGCCCACCCUCCUCCACCCCGGCAGCCCUCGGCUGUCUUCUCCGAAGGCUUUCUGGGUUUUCUGUCUCUGUCCUGGCGGGCUGUGCCUCUUCCCAAAGCCGCCGCGCCGCGCAGGAUGGAGGAAGCACUGAAGGGCACACUGGUCUCUUUGCUCCCCCUUUAUUCCAAGGCUGGGCGGCUUUGCAUCAGAUAUCCCCGCUCCGGGCAUGAAGGUACUGGAAAGAAAGUUCUUACCUGCUAUUUUCUAAGCCUAAUGCAUCCGAUCCGCGUUUAAAGUACAUAUUUUUUAAUUAAAAAAAUGGUCUGUGACCAUUCACUUCCUCAUAUUGAGUCCCACUGAAUUUUAAUAUGCCCUUUUAGGAAUUUUCCUCUAUUUAUUUACUUAGCAAUCCCAGCCGAUGGAGGGGACAAGGAAAAAAAAAAAAAAAAAAAGGA